AACGAACGCUGGCGGCAUGCCUAACACAUGCAAGUCGAACGAGAUCUUCGGGUCUAGUGGCGCACGGGUGCGUAACGCGUGGGAAUCUGCCCUUUGGUUCGGAAUAACAGUGGGAAACGACUGCUAAUACCGGAUGAUGACGAAAGUCCAAAGAUUUAUCGCCAGAGGAGGAGCCCGCGUAGGAUUAGCUAGUUGGUGUGGUAAAGGCGCACCAAGGCGACGAUCCUUAGCUGGUCUGAGAGGAUGAUCAGCCACACUGGGACUGAGACACGGCCCAGACUCCUACGGGAGGCAGCAGUGGGGAAUAUUGGACAAUGGGCGAAAGCCUGAUCCAGCAAUGCCGCGUGAGUGAUGAAGGCCUUAGGGUUGUAAAGCUCUUUUACCCGGGAUGAUAAUGACAGUACCGGGAGAAUAAGCUCCGGCUAACUCCGUGCCAGCAGCCGCCGUAA
rnacentral:rRNA from 1 species